UAGCCGUAAACGAUACUCGCUAGGUGUCGGCCACGGUGCGACCGUUGUCGGUGCCGUAGGGAAGCCGUGAAGCGAGCCACCUGGGAAGUACGGCCGCAAGGCUGAAACCUAAAGGAAUUGGCGGGGGAGCACAACAACGGGUGGAGCUUGCGGUUUAAUUGGAUUCAACGCCGGAAAUCUUACCGGGACCGACAGCAACAUGAAGGCCAAGCUGAAGACUUUGCCGGAUUAGCUGAGAGGAGGUGCAUGGCGUAGUCGUGU
rnacentral:rRNA from 1 species